rnacentral:rRNA from 1 species
CAGCAGCCGCGGUAAUACGAGGGGGGCAAGCGUUGUUCGGAAUUAUUGGGCGUAAAGGGUGCGUAGGCGGCUUGACAAGUCUUGUGUGAAAUCUAUGGGCUCAACCCAUAGUCUGCACGGGAAACUGUCGGGCUUGAGAAUGGGAGAGGUGAGUGGAAUUUCCGGUGUAGCGGUGAAAUGCGUAGAUAUCGGAAGGAACACCUGUGGCGAAAGCGGCUCACUGGACCAUUUCUGACGCUGAUGCACGAAAGCUAGGGGAGCAAACAGGAUUAGAUACCCCAGUAGUCCCUGUCUCUUAUAC